rnacentral:rRNA from 1 species
UACGUAGGGACCAAGCGUUGUUCGGAUUUACUGGGCGUAAAGGGCGCGUAGGCGGCAUGACAAGUCACUUGUGAAAUCUCCGGGCUUAACUCGGAACGGUCAAGUGAUACUGUCGGGCUAGAGUGCGGAAGGGGCAAUCAGAAUUCUUGGUGUAGCGGUGAAAUGCGUAGAUAUCAAGAGGAAUACCUGAGGUGAAGACGGGUUGCUAGGCCGACACUGACGCUGAAGCGCGAAAGCCAGGGGAGCAAACGGG